UAAACAUUAAUUGGACGUUGUGAAUCAGCUUAACACGGUGUCCGGAUUUUACUCAAAGUACUAAUUGUCGGUGGAAUAACCACAGCCAUGUCAGCUAUGGAUAAUGAAAGUUGACAUUUGAUUUUUAUUUAUUUCUCGCUCUUGUGUAUCUCAAACUAGUGAUAAACUGUGAAUAAAAACAAGACAAUAGAUUUGGUUUAUCGUCUCUUUCGAAGUAUGAAAUAACGAAAAAUUGUCAAAUGGAGUUUUCUUGGUAACAUUUUGUUAGUUGUUAUGGAGGAGGAUGAUGGCACACCAAUUGUUAAAAUCGAACCUGAACAAGAAAACGAAAUAACUUCGUCUCUUGAUGGAACUGUUUUCGUCAGCAACAAUACCCUGGUUACAAUAAAGGACGAAAUUACCUUGAGUACACAGUAUUGCCAGUUGUCUUACAAUGAAAACGAACAGCAACAAACUGAUUGCAGUUUGAGUAGUAAUUAUCCAUCUUCGAACGAUUUUAAAUGUAACUUUUGCACUUAUACAGCGGAUAGUGAAUUGCAGCUCAAACAACACCGUGAGGUUCACAAAGGCUUUAAAUGUUAUAAUUGCGAUUUCACAACAAAGAAUAAACACAACCUUAAACAACAUUGCCAGCAACGCUGUAUAGGUUAUUUGACACGUGCGAAGUGUAAUUAUGGAACUAACCAAAAGUCCCACUCCCAAACACACCUUGUGACACAAGUAUCAAAAGGUUUCAAAUUAAUUAAUUACAAUGACCGGACAAAGAGUAAAGAUAACUUUAGGCAAAAGGUUGCUAUUAAUUUUAUGUGUGCCAAGUGUGAUUAUGGAACCAACAAGAAAAACCACUUCGUAACACACCAGGUGACACAUGUUAAAAAAGACUUGAAAUGUAUUAAUUAUAAUUACAGGCAAAGUUUUAGGCAGUCUUUAAGCAACAGGGUCUCUAUUAAUUAUAAAUGUGCCAAUUGUAAUUACGGAACCCAUAAUAAACACCAUCUCGAAAAACACGUUUUGACACACAUGUUUCAAACGACUAACUUUACCUAAUAAUUAAGAUUAUUCCGGUAGUACUAACAUAACAUAACAAAUGUUUUGUUUAUUGUUUGCGAUUUGUUAGUUUUAAGGUACCUGCCUACUGUUAAGGUCUUGUAAUAAGUUUAAUUUGUAACUGUAAGUAUAUGUACUCUUGACUCAA